rnacentral:lncRNA from 1 species
GGCGCGGUCACGCAUCCUGUCCCUCCUCCUCUGCUUCUCUCUCUUCUUCUUCAUCUCCUCAUCAUCAUCCUCGUAGCCAUCUCCGGAUGCUUUGUCAGCUUCGUCUCCUGACUUCUCCUCUCCUUCGCCCUCAUCGUUGUCGGUGUCGUCGCCGUCGCUGUCGCUCUUCGCCUGUUUGCUGUCAGGUUCAUCACCACUCUGAGACUGCUUCCGUUUGCGUCCCCCUUCGCUCUCGGAUCGGACCCCGGAGCGGUUUCGAAAUCCUCUCCUUUUGGGCCCCAGCACAUUCCCGUGCCACGGCGCGCUGCCCAUCCGCUCCUGGCUGCGCUGCCGCCCCGCUCCGUAUCCGUAGGGCGCGCUCCCGUACCGCCCCAUUCCCACGCCCGACAUCCCCA